UACGAAGGGGGCUAGCGUUGCUCGGAAUCACUGGGCGUAAAGCGCACGUAGGCGGAUUGCUAAGUCAGGGGUGAAAUCCUGGAGCUCAACUCCAGAACUGCCUUCGAUACUGGAAAGCUCGAGUCCGGGAGAGGUGAGUGGAACUGCGAGUGUAGAGGUGAAAUUCGUAGAUAUUCGCAAGAACACCAGUGGCGAAGGCGGCUCACUGGCCCGGUACUGACGCUGAGGUGCGAAAGCGUGGGGAGCAAACAGG
rnacentral:rRNA from 1 species